rnacentral:rRNA from 1 species
AGCAGCCGCGGUAAUUCCAGCUCCAAUAGCGUAUAUUAAAGUUGUUGCAGUUAAAAAGCUCGUAGUUGAAUUUCGGGAUCAAUUAAUUGGUCGUGCCUAUGGUACGUACUGAUUUUAUUGGUUUCUCCCUUCUGACGAACCAUGAUGUCAUUAAUUUGGUGUCGUGGAGAAUCAGGACUGUUACUUUGAAAAAAUUAGAGUGUUUAAAGCAAGCUAACGCUUGAAUACAUUAGCAUGGAAUAAUGAAAUAGGACGUUUGAUCCUAUUUUGUUGGUUUCUAGGAUCGACGUAAUGAUUAAUAGGGAUAGUUGGGGGCAUUAGUAUUCAAUUGUCAGAGGUGAAAUUCUUGGAUUUAUUGAAGACUAACUACUGCGAAAGCAUUUGCCAAGGAUGUUUUCAUUAAUCAAGAACGAAAGUUAGGGGAUCGAAGACGAUCAGAUACCGUCGUAGUCUUAACCAUAAACUAUGCCGACUAGGGAUCGGAUGAUGUUAAUUUUUUAAUGACUCAUUCGGCGCCUUACG